GAAGGUCAGACAAUCACUAUUAUAGAAUCUGAACAUAUAUUUUGCAUUCUUAAUGGCCGCAGUGCACAAGUGUAGAAACAAGUUAACAACUUAUUAUUCAUUCAUUUUAGAGUAAAGCACAUUACAGGGAGACUUUGGUUUUCGACGGUCCCGACCUGGGACUUCUCAUGGUUACAAAACGGCACGCGAUGAAUAGUUUGCGGAACUUCCGGUGUGCAAGCCAACCACAGAAGUCGAGGUUUCCCAAAGCAAAAGGGCUGAGAAAGCAGUGGGAAACCAAAACGGCUGUUACAGGGCAACUCAUCAAAAUCAGUUCAACGAAAGCUUCGCCUGAGUCUGUACAAGCCUCUAUACUGUACGUAAGGCGAUACCGGAGGCCCGAGUUACCAAAGAUCUCAACUCAUCAUCAGGGGAAGGGAGGUUACUGGUGGAGUUCCCAGAGGUACCAAGAUGUGG